GGCCCAAGCCAGCCAGGAAGGAGGAGGCAGCCAGAGAGGCCUCCACUGUUCUCUGCAGCAGAAGACCCCCUGCUGCCAGCAUUUUGCAUCACCUAACUUUGAGGGACCAGAGUGGGAACACCACCAGACAAAGGAGACUGAGGCUACCUGAACUUCCUUCUUCCACAGGCAGAAAGUGCACCAGAUGCACGGAAGUUGCAGAAAGUGCAUUCGCUCAUUGCUCAAUCUAUGCUUGUAUACGCCUUACAUAAAGACAACAGUUCCAUGUUCAAUCCACUGCAUCUCUAAAAGGUCUUGGGCAGCACGGCUAGGAACAAUCUUCAAUGGAAAUCCACCACUUGCUAGAUCAGACAGCACUGAGCUAGAUGGAUCUAUGGCCUGGCUUCAUAUCACCAUAUAAGGUGUCAACCAGUCAGCAUUUCUCUCUCUCUUGCCACCUGUCCCCAUUAGCAGCUUUGCCUGCAUUAAACAACCUGUACCAUUGAGUAAAAUUUUAAAAUGUUAGGCUGAAUGAAUAUAUGAACUGGAUUAUUUAAAACUAA